rfam:Zymoseptoria brevis strain Zb18110 contig4205, whole genome shotgun sequence.
AAGGAUGACUACCUUUUAACUCCUAUGAGCUCGCUCUCUGAGGACUAAAACAAGCAACAACUAAACUCUAAUUUUUUUCUGAUC